GAUGAACGCUGGCGGCGUGCCUAAUACAUGCAAGUCGAGCGAACGGACGAGAAGCUUGCUUCUCUGAUGUUAGCGGCGGACGGGUGAGUAACACGUGGAUAACCUACCUAUAAGACUGGGAUAACUUCGGGAAACCGUAGCUAAUACCGGAUAAUAUUUUGAACCGCAUGGUUCAAAAGUGAAAGACGGUCUUGCUGUCACUUAUAGAUGGAUCCGCGCUGCAUUAGCUAGUUGGUAAGGUAACGGCUUACCAAGGCAACGAUGCAUAGCCGACCGGAUAGGGUGAUCGGCCACACUGGAACUGAGACACGGUCCAGACUCCUACGGGAGGCAGCAGUAGGGAAUCUUCCGCAAUGGGCGAAAGCCUGACGGAGCAACGCCGCGUGAGUGAUGAAGGUCUUCGGAUCGUAAAACUCUGUUAUUAGGGAAGAACAUAUGUGUAAGUAACUGUGCACAUCUUGACGGUACCUAAUCAGAAAGCCACGGCUAACUACGUG
rnacentral:rRNA from 1 species